UACGUAGGGUGCAAGCGUUGUCCGGAAUUAUUGGGCGUAAAGGGCUCGUAGGCGGUUUGUCGCGUCGGGAGUGAAAACCUUGGGCUUAACUCAGGGCUUGCUUUCGAUACGGGCAGACUAGAGGUAUGCAGGGGAGAACGGAAUUCCUGGUGUAGCGGUGGAAUGCGCAGAUAUCAGGAGGAACACCAAUUGCGAAGGCAGCUCGCUGGGACGUUACUGACGCUGAGACGCGAAAGCGUGGGGAGCAAACAGG
rnacentral:rRNA from 1 species